rnacentral:rRNA from 1 species
GACGAACGCGGCGGCGUGCUUAACACAUGCAAGUCGAACGAAGAGCGAUGGAAGCUUGCUUCUAUCAAUUUUAGUGGCGAACGGGUGAGUAACGCGUAAUCAACCUGCCCUUCAGAGGGGGACAACAGUUGGAAACGACUGCUAAUACCGCAUACGAUCUAAUCUCGGCAUCGAGGAUAGAUGAAAGGUGGCCUCUACAUGUAAGCUAUCACUGAAGGAGGGGAUUGCGUCUGAUUAGCUAGUUGGAGGGGUAACGGCCCACCAAGGCGAUGAUCAGUAGCCAGUCUGAGAGGAUGAACGGCCACAUUGGGACUGAGACACGGCCCAGACUCCUACGGGAGGCAGCAGUGGGGAAUCUUCCGCAAUGGACGAAAGUCUGACGGAGCAACGCCGC